CCAAGAACACAGAGCUCUGCCUGCCUCUGCUUCCUGAGAGCCAGGAUUAAAGGCGUUCACCACCAGAGCCUGGCUACUGUUUUGUACUUUCAAAGUCUAGUUGUUUUGAAACCUUUGGAUUUGGUUUUUAAGAAAAUGUCUAGAAAUUCUUCAGACUAAACCCACAGAAUUAGUUCUUUAAACACCUAUAUUACAUUUGAUGUUUAAAUUCUUUCUUCAAAAAGUGCUUUUCACCAUGCGAGAUAUUAUACCAUUGAAACCCAAAUUAAUAAUGAAUUCUUCAAUGAGAAAAGUCUUAUUUUAUUAAAAGAGAUUCACUCAUUUUAAAGUUCUCAUUAAUGAAAUCAAAAUACAAACUGACCAUAUAAUAACUCUUGGCUAACAAGUACUGAUGCAUAAAACAUGAAUGAUUUAACAUUUUCUAACAAAUGCAUAUUAUCUCAUGAUUGGUUUCAUCUAAUUAAGAAAUUUUAUAAUAACUAUAUUUUCAGUCACUUUCAUUCACAGUGUUCCUACAUAAUAAAAACAUCAAAUACCCACCAUGAGUAUCUGCUAUUAAAUAGAUCUGAAAAGUGUGGAAAGGAUAUAAAAUACUGGCUUGAGUUAAGUGGAAUUAAAUAACAGUUAUCCUUUUAUAAGUGAUAGGCAAUCUAAUAUUUGUAGAAUAAGUUAUGUUAGUGUAAAUAUUUUAAGCUGUUAAACUGCUAGAUUAUGUUUCGAGAAAUUAAGGUAGUUGUGUCAGACAUUUUGCCAUAAUGUAAAAAUUAAAGUGCGUAGAGUUCAUCAUUUUAUAUUGGACUAAUGCUUGUGGUAAUGGUUUUGCAAAGUUAUGUUUAAGCACUGCUUAUCACAAACUACAAAGUCAACACAGAGUAAGGACACGCAAUGCAAGGUUCAUACGACAGUGAAGAGGUGUUUUUUUGUUAAACGUAUGCAAAGAACCAUUUAAAACAAAUAGGUAAAUGCUUACCGAACAGCCAUUUUUAAUGACACUGGGCCCAAACCAACAAAACAGUUUGCUAGGUUUUGCUUAGAAUAACUACAUGGUCCGUUAGUUUUCAAAAUCAAUUGUUCCUUAAACACUCAAUACUUGGUCCCUUCUUAUGUGUAAAGGUGAAAAAUAUCUCCACUAAGUGCCCCGAAUAGGAAUAAUGGAAAAAAGUACUAGCUGAAAUUCAUGAUGGCAUAAGAGGAUGAAAAAAAAAACACACAGGAAAAUGUGGUGAGCCCACUGGGGAAACUCAUUUUUCUUCUCAGGGUGAGAGAAGAAGAAAGUCAUUUAUCUAAGAAGAAAAUGUUUCUCACACAGAGCACACUACUUCCUGCGGUUUCUAGGGGAACACAUUCCUCUCCCUCCUUCCUCCCUCCUGCACGCCCUUUCCUUCUCCACUUUAGGAAGAUGUGGGUGAGGGAAGGGGCUUUCUGUGGUCAGAGACGGCUGUUCACACACAUUUUCAGAAACAGGAAGAAGGGAAAGGUUGGUCAUUAUCUCCCUUUGUGGAAUUUGUGUCAGUAUUGUCUCAAUUAGUGCUAUAAAUUCUCUGCGUGGGAAAAUAUACUUUGGUUAGACUAUAAAUUUUUUUGUUGUGGUGGUAACAUGUGUAACAUAGAUACUUGGUUUGAUAUCCAUUUGAAUCAACAUUUUCUUUUGAAAUCUGACAGAUCCUUUCUUCAUAUGAUGCAUUUUCCCCAAAAGACUGAAGUGCUUCCUCUAAAUUAUUAAUUAUCAGUUUUAAUUUUAAAACUUUGUUUUAGGCUACAUUUUAGAGUGUUAAAACUUGAAAAAAAAUGAAUUUAAUUUAGAAGAUUCAUCCACAGCUUAUCUCUAGUAUUUUUAUUUUAUAGUGUGGUUUAAAAGAGAGUCCAUCUCUAAAGGUAGUUUGAAUUCCAGGAUGUUUGUUAAAAAUCAAUCUAUAAUGUGAAGUAAUCAUAAAUAUUUCUGAGGUCGGUAUGUCAAUCACAAACAAAACAGAAUGGAGCAUGAUGACACUGUAGAAACAGUAGUUAUUACUAUUGAUGCAAUAAUGGUGAAAAUACUGAUAAUAGAAAAGUUACAUUCCCAUUCACUUUUCUGACUUAAAUAAGACCAGAACAUAGAAGUCCACAGGGCUGGAGUUGCUGUGGUCAUUCUCCCCUCAAGUUCCAACCCUGAAGCUUACUAACUCCAGGGAAGCUAAACGUACCUGGUCAUUUGUAAGAUUUUAUUGAUUUGACUUCUUAAAAAACUUAACUGCCUUAUUGCAUUCAUUGACACAGCUGUAAUGAAGGAAGUAAUUUCAUAAUAUGCCAUAAGCUUUGUCUAAUAGUAAAGAUUCAAAGAUUAUUCAAUAUUAAAUGAUAAUAUCGUGAUGCAUAGACAAUAUAUAAUUUGUUAAUGUUUGCAUAACUUCACUGCUAAGUACCAGUGUGUUGUGAAAUUCAGCAUCCUGCAUGGAUAAGUGGUGAAUAUUUUAAAGCUCAGAAAGACAAUCAAAGAAGAUGAAUUUGCUGAACUUCACAAGUGUCGUGAACAGUGACAGACUGUUCAGAGAGGAUAUUUAAUUAGGCCAGUGAGCCUGGAGGAGCGUGAUAAAUAACAACAGGACACAGGAUAAUCUAUAGAAGAGGCUCUAAAAGACAUCAGUCAGCCAGAGCUGCGGAAAGACUUAGAAACUGGCUCAAGGUCUAAGGUCUUUGUCUAUCUUUUAAAGACUUGAAACGUCAUGUAAAAGCAGACUGAAGUGAAAGCAUGAAUUGAAACGUUGACCACUGUACCCGAAGGUACUUCUUUGACUAUUAUCUUUUCCUCUCCUAAUCUUUAGUUUCCAAUGGGGUUAUCUUUCUUUCCUCUGAGUCCCAUUUUCUGCACAGUGUAUCUCAAAUUUCACACUUUUUUGUUUAAAGACUGCAUUUCACUCUGGUCUUCUGUCACUCCUUAUACACAACCUAUUUAUAACCACUUGGAUUUCUAAGAGGAUCCAAGCAACAUAGCCUGUGUCCUUCUUGCCAGUCCUUUGUUUAUCAGAACUCACUGUUUUCUCUCUUUCCCUCACCUUUCUCGCUGAAUUCUUACAACCCCCUUUCUCUUUCUCUAAGCUCAUUGGCUACUUCUUCCUUAUUGGUUCAUUUGCAUGCCACAUACACUUCGAUGCACACCAGCAUUCCAUUGUUGAUAUUUACCAUUCCACAUUAUCUAUCAUGGCUUCAGAGUCCUACAGAGAUGGUUACAAUAUAAGAACACUCUUUAACUUCCUAUUUUCUUUCCUCUUGAUUUCAUGCUUCUUAUUCCUAUUCAUCUUUAGUUUUUAUAUACCUUAGGCUAGCCAGUCUGUGAAACGCCAUUUUCUCUUACUGAUCUCUUUCUUCUUCUGGUGAUCAUCAGUGAAAAAUUAGCAGUCAUGAGUAAUAAUAAUAGUAGUAGUAAUAAAGCAAUUAGCCAAUGGAUUUUAUAAUUAUUUUUUCUACUUCUAGUCUUUUCUUAUUAAUUAAUAAAUUCAACGCAUAGUGAUUCAACACCUCCUACAUGUAAAAUUUUGUCUAGGCAAUAAAGAUACAGACAUAAGGACUGUCAAAAAUGCCCUUAACGAGAUUCCAGCCUGAGGGCAGAGAGAUCUAUUAUAGCAGUAGAUCGUUCACAAUAGUUACAUCUAAUGACAGUUUCUCAACAGCAUAAAAGUCAGCUCACACUGGCAUAAGACAUGAUCAGGUUUCCAACAGUGUGACCAGAAAUGUGUUCCUUUAUCUUCCUCAUGAGUCACAUUUGUUGGUUCUCUACCUGGUCACAAGAUGGCUGGCAAGAGCCUUCUAGGGCUAUAGUAUUACCAGUGUAAACAGAGUAUCAAAAAAAGAGAAUGCAAAUCAUUGUUAUCCUAAAGACAUAUGUCAAGUGCAUUGAGGGCUCUCGGCGAGAAUGCACUCCAUCUGCCAAGCAGACUCAGGAAGGCUGCCUCCAAGAGAUAACACUUAAAAUAAUAAAACCUGCGGAACAGCUUACCGGAGGUAAAGUUUAAGAGCCAGGCAUGUCAGUUCAAAGCCUUCGCUCAGGCAGAUAUCAGCAAUAAAUCUAGAAAGUCUUGGGAAAGAGGCAUUACUCAUUCUUUUCACUUAACCUUAUCUGUACAGCCCCAUCUUUGUCAUCUAAAGGGAAGAAGAGGAACAUGAGCAGGUGCAUGUCUGUCUGUCACCAGGCGUGACAGCCAGCAAGCAACUGGGAGCGGAGACGAGCAACUGUUGAUGGUUUCUUGCGAUUCUCUUCAUUUGACCAAGUGCUACCAGCCCAGAUGGUAUGCCCACCACCCAGCUGACAUCAGGGAAGAAGGGUCAUGAAAGCUGAGGCAGAGGGUCACUUCAAUUCAGAUGAACCUUCGAGAGAAAACUUCCUGGAAUGUGGGCUUAUUAAUUCUUAAUCUCAGCCACCCUAGAGAACACGGAGUGCCAUUAGCCCCGCUCCAGAGACAAGGCAACACACUGCCUCUUCCUCCUAGCCACCUCAUAAUAACUUGCUACAAGAAAUCAAUGGCAUUUCAUUUUGAAGACUGCUGUGUGGCGAAUGGUUCAAAGCUUUUCCAGUUUUGCAAAUAUUAGAUUACACAUGGAUAACAUUAUCUGUUCGGUGGAAUUUUCUGAGCCAACAUCAUUAGGGAGAUCACCGCAUUUGGAAUUGACCUAAAUCUGUGAUUUCAACAGGUCACUGAGGUUCAGCGAGCAUAAGGAGAAGUAAAAAUGGCAAACUUGACAGGAGCCAAGCAUGCUCCCAACGUGAUUGAUUUGAGCCUCUGCUUCCCGGCCAGGUGUGGGGACAUCUUAAGGAAAGCCCACUUUGAAGACAUUCCCCAGAAAUGGAAAUAACUUACAGGGACUUUCAGAAGAGGAAAAGCCCUGGCAGUCCUGGAAUCCACUUUAUAGACCAAGAUAACCUUGAAAUCACUGAGAUCUUCCUGCUUCUGCCUUCCAAGUGCUGAGAUUAAAGAGAUGCCUCCUUGUAGAACUGGCUUCUUGUUGUAUAUGGGGGAUUAAGAUUCGCAUAAAGAAUAGGCCUGGAAACCUGAAUGAUGGGAAAUGAGGGAGGUCACCAAGAGGCUCUGACUCUGACCACACAUAGGGAACUGCGCUUACCAAACCAACCCAUCUUCUCCUAACCAACACCUGGAAUUUGCUUCUCUGGAAAUCAAGGGAUAAAUCAGUAAGAAUGUAGGACAUGUCACUGAGGCCACACAGGGUUGGCAAGAACUUGAUGUUGGAUUUUCACUAUGAUUCAUGUACAAGAUUCAAAAAGGUAUUUUCCGUAUUUCCAAAUGUGCUAAGCGCAAAUGCAUACACAGACAUACAUAUACACACUAAUCCUUUAUGCAUAUUUUCUCAAAGCCCCAACCGAUGUCUACCUGGUUCUAUACUCAUGUUUGCUAUGUUCUUUUGUGUGUAGUUUUGUUGUUGUUGUUGCUAAAGAUCUAAUGAAAAUAAUAAGUACGUCACCUUUCUUUAGGAUAUUUGAUGCACAAUUACAUAAAUUUGACUCCACGUU